rnacentral:piRNA from 1 species
UGAACCUGAAUGACAAGGUGCAGCCUC